rnacentral:rRNA from 1 species
UACGUAGGGUGCGAGCGUUGUCCGGAAUCACUGGGUGUAAAGGGUGCGUAGGCGGGAAGGUAAGUCAGUGGUGAAAUCUCACGGCUCAACCGUGAAACUGCCGUUGAUACUGCUUUUCUUGAGUUUGGGAGAGGUCGAUGGAAUUCCAGGUGUAGCGGUGAAAUGCGUAGAUAUCUGGAAGAACACCAGUGGCGAAGGCGGUCGACUGGCCCAUAACUGACGCUGAGGCACGAAAGCGUGGGGAGCGAACAGG